AGCGCACAGGUAGCCAUAGGGGACCUUCUUGCCGCAGUAGUUGAGGAGGAGGGUGAGAUCGACGUCGACGUUGAGGCUGAUGCCCAAGAUGUUGGCCUUGAUGGCGGUGCAGAGGCACAAGGCGGCUUCGAAGUCGGCGAGGCCCUCGAUGAGGCUACAGCAGGGUUUCUUGGGCGGGGUGCCGAUCUGGAGGUUGAUGAGGCCGCCGAGCACGUUGGCGCAGGCGCCCAGCUUGACCGUGUCGAUGGGACAGGAUGGCAUGCCGGGUUUGGGAGUCGGUUUGGGUCUGGGCGAAGGCUUGGGCUUCAUCGGAGGUGGCGGGCAGUAGCUGGAGGAGACCAAGGUGAAGAAGAGGAGGCUGAGGCAGAGGAGUAGAGCGGUGGAGGAAGAAGCCAUCUCCUGUCGAGUAACUUGGACGAGGAACGGAAGGGGAAUACGUAGGAGUGUACUUUGGCUUGGGAGUGGAGCAAUGGGAAGUUAGGGUUUUAUAGAUAAGUACUGCGAUUUGCGGUACAGUGGCAAUGCAUGUGAGCAGGUGGGCCAGACAUGCAAGCUGGAGAUUGGAGAUAGGGUUCGGUGCUUCGUCAUGUAGCGCUUUGUGCCGCUUGCGCUCGUCAUGGUUCUGCACUGUGAUCUUUCCACCAUUAUUCACCGAUCCAAACCCCUCUCUCUCUCUCUCUCUCUCUCUCUCUCUCUCACGUACAGAGAGAGAUAGAGAUACUGUGGUGUAGCUUCAGUCCUUAAAGGUGAAAACUGAACACAAGACAGUAUCACAAUUUAAACAAUGAACACGAUUAAGCAAGCCAAUCACAACAACCACAUAUCGAACUUUCUUGGGUUUUACCCAAAUCAGUGUUAUGAACUUUGUUGGAGUUUCCCAGCAUUUGGCUCUCAGCGUGGAUUAGAUACUGAAUGAGAACCAUUCAAGAAUACUUGAGCCAUACCAUAAAAUGUUAAUUAGUUCAGAGAAAUUUGCUGGUAUGUAAAUUGAUUUCACAUUCUUGUUCGUCUCGACAUGAAUCAACCAUCACCUCUCCACCAUGACAAUAAUUUUAGGGAAGGAAAGGAUCGAUUGUGCCGACAUGAAGUAACCUGACACCAACCUCAGGUUCGCUAAAGGCCCACCUGGCCUUGCAUAGAUAGCAACCAGAGCAGUCCAACAACAGCCAUUUGACAGACACUGGAUCCUACUCUUCUGUCUUGAUCUGGUAUGUGCUCCUGCACCAAUUGGCUUGCUAUGAUCAAUACUUUGGAACAUGUAGAUACAGAUACAAAUCUCUGGACUCGGAUAGAGGCCAGUGGCUGACAGAUUUCCUUCCGAGUGACCUCAGAAAAAAAAAGAAGAAAAAAACAAUUAUGACAGCCUUGCAUCCACGUCCACACUAAACAAAACCAAGCAGUCAUAUCUGACAUUCAACAUCAUGACCUAAUUCCAAGCCCUAGAAGUUCACUCUAAGGUUCUUUACAGAGCAUAGUCUAAAUUUCUUAGUACAUUGCAAAAUAUUCCAAGAUCAUGGUUGACCAGAGAGAGAACAGCCACUGGGAGUAUCACUAGUUAUCUUCAUUAAAUGACUGCAAGUUUCGGAAUGUGUGCUAAAUUCAAAAUGUCCAAGCAAGAAUAGAAGAAGAAGAAUAGGUAUUAGAUGAAAACAAAAUACACUGACCCCUUGUACUAGUUAUCUUCUGAACACAAGUUUCAACUCCGCAAUCCAUGGGCCAACUUUAAUGUCUUGGGUUGUCUAGUUAACUGAAGACAGAGAAUGAAGAAUGAGUGACAGUUAAACUAAUAUGAGAUAUCAUAUCAAUUGCAUGGAUGGUGCUAAGUGGUAAAAUGCAAUGUAGUUUGCUCAUGUCUGCAGACAUCUAAAAGUUCCACAUGUGCAGAAGAGUAUUUAUCAGAUGAUGGCUGUUAAAAGACCACUGAACCACAGGAUCAUGUCUGGGAGAAAGACAAGGUUACAGAAGGGCAAAGUUUGAACGACAAAUGAUUCUAACACUCAAGGGGAAUACAAGAAAGACACGUUGAUUUGCGAUGAGAGUAUCAAGUUGCCCACCAACACAUGGCAACAGCUCACUUAUGGAGAUUCUGCUUAGCUGACUUGAGAAAAAAAAAUAUUAAGCAGUGUUGAACACAAGGCAAUCAUGAAUUGCAUGGGGACAAGGUUGAAUGAGAAAUUGAUAUCAGGUUCUUUAUUGAAGCCCAAUCAACCUAUGGGGAACAGGUUCAGUUCCCCUGUUCACACUCAUGCUGGUUUCAUCCACAGCAGAGGAACAGCUAAAUGAAAGCAGCUGUUUCAAAGAGCAAUUCCUUCUCAUGCCCAAUCACCAUGUAUAUUCCCAUUAGGCCAGUUCUUCAGUCACCAAGUAAUCUUUCUUUUUUCAACAUGAUUCAAAACAAAAGGUACUCAUCCAUUUUCCAAAAUCGAAGAUAACCAGCAACCACCAGAAUGCAUGUUUUAUUGUGGUCGUGAGACCCAAUAUGUGAAUGAUAGAACCAGCAGAAGGAAGCAUCGGCAGAUCAACCAUUUACCUCGAAGCUCUUGCAGGGAUUUGAGGAACAUCUUGUGGUUCCCACCAAGCUCGAUACAGAUUGCCAUACGGUUAGAUUUCUGAUGCCUGUAGAACCACAACAAGUAACAUUACCAAGAGAAUUCAAGAAAUAAAUGAAAAUUAGAGAAUCCACUUAGGAUGUCCAACCCAGUUAAGAAGCUCCACAUUUAUAAAUUAGUUUGAUUCUCAAGGCUGAAACAACAGCCUGUAAGUUCACAAUGCAUGACUUGCUUUUCACUAAACCAAGAAAUCAGUGAAGUAAAAGAAAAUAAUGCUCUCAGGAACCAACAUUCAUUCACCAAAUGCUUCCCAGUUGUAAUACAAAUCUUGGACUAAUCCAGUAGAUUUAAGUGAAAUGCACACACAAGAAUUUUGAAAAUAUAUUUCUUCCAAGUACACAAUAUAACUCAAUUUACAGCUAGCAAUUUGAGAAAUGUGAGUCUAGAAUAAGUUGCAAAGAAAAUGUCAUGUAUGUGGGGCACAAAACUUCAAUGACGAAGGAUUAUAGACUUUAAGACAAUGUCUACAGUUGUUUUUUGUUUCCACAGUUGACAACAUGAACUUGGAGUUCAAAUUCACCAUGCACUUUCCAUUUGUUUAUGACUAGGUAGAGUUUCUCUCUGUCAAGCUACUAAACUGCUCACAAGAAUGAAGUGAUCCAUUAUUGUGGUCAAAACUGAAUUCUGGUUAAAAUAGUCAUUGUAGUUUCUUGCACAUAAUGGAUCUAGGACAGGUAGGGCCAGCUCACAGAAGUGAAAGGUAGAUUUCACCAAACAAUUCCUGACCCCAGAAUCAGUACCAGUGACACUGAAGAUGCAGAGACAGAAUUGAAAAGACAAUGCUAUAAUGCUGCACUGAUUGAGAAGUGAAGGUUUCUAACAUCAAGAAGAGCUGAUAUGUCCCAAUCAAAUUCUAGCACAGAUAACAGGUCUAUGAAAUGCUCAGCCACUCAGGCAUGCUGAUGAACAAUAAUAGAAUUAUAUGAAGCAUGAACCAGUCUCAAGAAGCACUAAAUAUGCUACUAAUCCAACCUAAACUUGCUAUCCAUUAUUUACAACAGAGAAGCAGGCCGUGUGUUUAUCUUUAUAUCCACAUCCUUCAGAGAACAUGAGCUCACAGCAAAUUUGAGACCUCGCAAUUCAUUAAUUACAACAGAGAAGCAGGCCCAUGUGUUAAUCUUUUUCCCCACGCUUCAGAAAGCUUGCCCUCUUGGAAAAUUUAACACCCUGCAUGCCAGCUGGAGGUACAUCUUCAGUCUGCCAACCAAUAAGAUGUAGGAUUUGUAGACAACUACCACUAUAACGAGACAGAUACUGACCAUUUAAGAUUGGAUACAUGGUCCUUUUCCUGCCAUUAAGUAGUAUUCAGAGCAAUAAUGGUAGAAACAACAUCGAAUCUGAUGCAGGCAUUAUUUUGUCUUUUUUUUUCUUCAGGAUAAUUUUAUUAAUUCAUUCAUUUUUUGCAGAUAAAAAAGUCUAACAAGACAUUUCUUGAUGAAAAUUUAGUAAGUUUUUACACUACAUUUUAUUCAUGGGAAGGAGAGUAAGCCGAGUUAAAAACUAAAAGAAUAGACUGGAAAAAUAUGCUUAACUGAAAUUUGUAUCCAUAGUACCAAUAAGAAAUCAUUACUAAAAGUAAGAAUGUAACAUGAAGAUAAAAGGGUGAUUUCCCUAAAAAAUACCCACAUUUUGGGUAUUUUCCAAUUGGUAUCACCAUUUUAUUUUUUUCUCAAAUAGUACUCUUAAUUUGAAAAAUAUUCAAACCGCCCUUCAAAAACACUGUAAAAGGACGAUUUACAGUGUUGUUGGCAUGUUACAGUGUUUUGGUCACCAUAACAAAAACGUUGUAAAGCUUACUUAAAAACAUAGUAAAUAAACCAAAUGGAAUCAAAACACACCAAAUAUUAUUUGAUAUAUCAUACUAUGAUUCAAAUAGGUAUUUAAAAUAGCUUAGGAACAAUAUCACCCAAAUAGAAAUAAAAAAUUACCUUUACAGUGUUUUGCCCACCACAAUAAAACAUUAUAAGACCUACUCGAAGACACUAUAAACGAUCUAAAUGGAAUCUAACCCCAACCAAACCAACUAGAAGCCUAAAAAUAUAGAAUCAUAAGGUCUAUGAGCAAUGACAACUAAAUAGGUACAAUAUGAUGUCAAUUAUGAUAUUUUUCAUUAGUGUUUUCAGUAUCUCAAUAAAAUACUAUAAACAUUGUAAAUGAUCCAGAUGAAAACAUUGUAAUAGUUUUAAAAUGAUAAAAAUGGGCAAAAAUUUUUUGAGGGAUAUUUUGUGUAAUUUUUAAAUUAGAGAUAUUGUUUGAGAAAAUGUAAAAGAGGGGUACCCUUUUGGAAACACCCAAAAUAUGAGUAUUUUCUAUGGAAAUCGUCCAAGAUAAAAAUUGUUUGCCCUGAGAUCCCAGUGUGGUUUUGUCAUAUAACAAUCCAGUACCUGAGCUUCAGCUUUAACGAAUAAUUUCCAUCGUCUCAAAGGCUUCAACACAUUUAUAAGGGUACCAAAAUACAUUCAUUAUCAACUGGUGGACACUUUGAUGGAGUCAUCGUUUUGUCCUACUUUUAACUUCAAAAUAAUUUUAUUAAUAUGGGCUUUUUGCAAUUGUCAUAAUGUUAUCACAACAAUUUCUUUGCAAAUAUGAACUCUGCCCAUGUUUUUGCCUAAGCAAAAGAAAAAAAUGAACUAAAUAAUUGAUGAUGAUUUAAAAGAUAUGUUUAAUUAAAGAUAUAUUCAUGGAAAAAAUUAAUACCUAUAAUAGACACCUCCCAAAGCAUCAUUGAAAUUAUGAAAGAUUCUCUGGAUAUGAAAGAUGAGAUGAUCGAAUUCUUACUCUUCGACUAAAAGAAUUAGAAUUUCUUUUUUAUUUGUCGUUGAGGUUAGGGUUUUUAUAAGGGGGAAUGUUGUGAUUGACUAAAUGGUAGAAUGAAUUCAAUUUAUAUUCUCAAAUUAUGUGGGAGUGGCACGAGGAAUCAGGUAGAAAGGUUGUAUGUAAAUGUGACCCCUACAAUCCAAAACUAUAGUAAUUGAUUAUUGUGCACAAGAAUGCUAUGCUGUUCAUCCUGACUAGCAACAAUUAUAUGUGAGACAGGAGAUAUAUAGUUAGCAACUGCGUGAAACAGAAACAAAUCCUUCCCCAGAGAACAUCAACGCAUCAUGAGUCCAUAUCAGAACGGAGUUUAUGCCAAUACCAAUUGUGAGAUGAAUCAAUUGUGACGCUUGAGAUGAUAUAACCGAAGAAAAGAAGACUCGGAAACCGAAUGUAGAUCAAUGGAUGCGCAAUCUUCACCAUCUCUCAAAUCAUAGUAGCGUACAUUUCAGCAUGUACAUAAUUUUAACAUGCAAAGAACGGGAGACGACUCACGAAAGGUAUCUUGGAGGCUUUGUCGUUCAAGACGGCGUGCAAACCGAGCGACGCGAAGAAGCCCAGCCCUUCGCAUAGCCACGCUAACGCCUCGUGCUGAUAGAAAAGAAUCCACAAAAGAGGAACACAUACGGAUUCAUUCUCACAAUACAUCAUUGGAACAACAGAAAGAAGGAAAAACCCCUAAUCUUUUGGAGGAUGGAAGUUACCUUCCCGAUAAUGGUAGGAGCCCGAUAAGGCGAUAGGUCCAGUUCUCGGCCGAACCCGAUCGUUGUAAACGGGCAGCUUACAAGAUGGACCAAAAACGACAUGGAUCAGAAACUUGAGUGGGAGAAGAGCUUACGGGCUUGCCGGAGACGAUGUGCUUGCCGAGGGAGCGGCCCAUACCAGAGCCCGAGAGGAUGGCGGGGGCGGCGCAACGGGCCGAGCCGCAUCGUGCGUCUGCUUCGUCUGCCGUGGGACGUUGUUCCGCUCGCAGAUGCAUGCGACCGGAGGUCAUCCCUUCGACCUUUUAGUCGAAUCCAAAAUCAACUGGAUCCUCGGGGACUGCGGUAGCAAGGGCCAUAUCGGGUCGUCUCCACCUGCGAACGUGAAUCCAAUAAAAUAUUGUGGAUCCGGAUCCGAGAACGGCUACAGCGUGUCUGUGACCAUGUUUCCGAGUCCACUGACACACGAACUCAAAGGACCAUGGGCUGACAGCCCAUACUAACAAGAGACGGCUAUGACGGAAUCUCAAAAGCAUGCAAAUCAUAGAAUAAAUGUCCGGCAGAUACACAUUGAGAAUAAUAGGUCAUUAGGGCAGAUGCAAGAAUCUUCAUAAUAUUAUACUGAAUACCAGCAACAACUCAAAAUUUAGAGCAAGGAUGCCUUCUGAGAUGCAUUGUUUAACUGAUUGAAAUUUUAAUGACAACCUCUAUAACCAACAGAAAUCGGACAUGAUGCAUUAGAUCCUGCACCAACUCUAAAGGUCAAUACAGAAACUGAAAAUCUUUACUUAGAUAGCAUAAGAAUAAAUGAAAUAUAAAAAACAAGAUUUACUUGAGGUAAUGCCUGGAGUAAACAUGAUGGUUGGUAAGACCAGAAUAACUGUCAUUGAGAAAAAAAAAAAAAAGUUACCUUGCUGUAUUAGGAGCCAUAUUCUCAAGACCAUUCAUUCUAGAAAAUAGAUUAGACACUCCAUUCACAUCUUUAGGCAAAUCAUAGCCAAUCUUAAACAUGCUGGGAAAUCAGCUACUAGAAAAACAAUGAGAUCAAUGGCUUGAUCACUCAUUUUUUCUGAAUGCAAGUUGAGAUAGGAAACCAUCACUGAGGUAUAGCGAGGAAUUGACAUGCACUGACGACCCACGUGAAUUCUGAAUGCCAGCAACUUUGUGAAGGACAUAAAGAAGGCAGUUGUGGAAGUUUAUCCAUGAAUGAUAAAGGCAUCAAUGAGGUUUUGAGAGGAUAAACACACGGUGAUGACCGAUGCGAGCUUCAAGAAUACGGCCGAGAUGGCGAAGGACCUGUAAGUCACAGUUACGGGAAUUAGCCCAUUUGGUAACACUCUCUGGCAAUCAUGCAUCAGUAACACCUAAUUUUGCUCCAAACAUAUUUUGCCAACAAAAGUUCCAAUAUUUGGAAUAUUGAUCUUAGCAUAUCCUCUUGCUGCUAAUAUAUAUGAAAAACUUGGUACCAAGUCCUAAUAACUGUAACAGGCCAACAUGCACCAGCAAUUUCAUGCACAAAAUUUAUAAAAAAAAAGACUUAAGGCUCCCGUCAAUACAAGAUCUAAAAAGAGUCAAUAUAUAUAACCUUAUCUUUUAAUAUUUAAAGAGAUUGUUUUCAUGAAUUAGAUCCUAAUCUUGACAGGUUGCAAAGGAGCAACCUCAUCAUUAUUCCAAGAUCCGCCCUCAAAUUUCAUGUGCAAAAGUAAACCGAUAAAAUAAAAAAAGAGGAGAAUCCUGAAAUAAGAUACACAGACAAUGAUUUCACAACUAGAUACGUUGGACUAAGUAGUUUAAAUUUAUAAGCAAUAUCAGCGAGGCAGAAAAUUAAUAGAUAAUGUAAAAACAUCAGGACGACAACUCAACCAAGUCAUAGUCGCAUUACAGCUGGUAGUACAAGUAUGACAGAAAUUAGCACCUGUUGCUGUGUUCUAAGGCCCAAACAGUUUCAUGAUUGUUAUGGGAUACCAUGUGAACACGAUAUAUAGAUGAAAAGAGGUAGCCAUCACACUUUAUACCAACACAUGCAGGUUGACAUACUCAUAGCCAGCAGGAUAUAUGUAUCAUACAUCACAUAAUGCAAAUUACGGAGUUCAACUGUGCACCUGGGAACAUGACAGCAAGCACAUAAUUCCAACGAGAGAAUUAGAAGUAUGAUGAGAAAAUAAAGGAAUGUAUAAGUAAAUAUGCAAAGUUAAUUGUAUUCUCAUCUAUAGAACCCACAGACAAGAGACAUAUUGUCAGACCUAAUCCAACCAUCUAGAGUCCACAAUACUGAUCCCCAAUGAUAAACUUGGGAAGCACAAUUAGAGAUUUCAUUAUGACUAGAUAACUUACUGUCAAAAUUGCUUUUCCCGUAUUGUCAAGUUUCAGUCCUGGUCCUUUUAUGUCUGUUUCCAGGAAAAAGUGCUUGCCUUUCACUGCUUCAGUUGUUGCUAUGUCUCUUAGUUCCUGCAUUUUAACAACAACAGUAGCAAACUUGUGUAACAUUGAACAGACAUACAAAUUCAGCACAAAAUGUGAUACACGCGUUCUUCCCACAUGGGUUACAGUUUACACAUUGCCACACAGGAAAAAUGUAUAAUAGCCAGCUGAAUCUACUUACAAGAGCUUUUUCCCAGGUGUCUUCAGCUAGCUACAUGAAAACAAGAAGACACGAUAAACAAAUGGCCAAUAGGAAGACGCCAAGCUUAUUUAUUAUACUGAGCAACACAAACCUUCUUCUUUGGGCAUGAGACGAGAUGAGAAUUUGCUUCUGCAUACAUAGCUAUCUCAUUGAUAGCAAUAUUGACCUUGUCCAAAGUAAGCCUUCCCCUCAUAUAACUGCAAUUGUUAAGAUGGAAAAAUUGAAUUUGGUUUCAAAUGAUACGUGAUUUGCUUAUCAAGCACAUACAAUAUCUUUCAAUAUCCAUAUGAGAUUAUAAAUAUUUAUUACUAGGGACCCUGGUAUGUCAUUCAACUUCUUUUCAGAACAUCUGAAAUCAGGAAAGAGUAUGGAUUAUGUAACCUAUUUUACCUGACUUAAAUAAUUUCAACUUGUGUUUUGGUUCCUAUCUUUCUGCCUAGUUAAUUUCAAUGACAGAUCAUUUUUCCACAUCAACAUACCAUAAAUACCAGCCUUUUCCAAUUGUCCUCAGAACACCAGAGGUCUUUCGCAAAACCAAUGAACUCCAACUCCAUGUAUUUUUAGAUUUAUUAUCUUGGAACUCAGUUCUUUAAUUUUCAUUACCGGAUUAACUAAGAGACACAAAAAACAGAUAAUCUACAACAUUAAAAUUGACAAGAGAUAGAAACAAUGAGAACCAAGAAGAAAUAUACCAACAUGGUGCAGAAGAAAUAUACAAAGUAAAUUUGAGGAUAGACUUACGAAGACAGUGAAUCCAAUUCCUCGGCAGAAAUAUACCACCGCGGUGCAGGAGAUGGACCCUUCUUCCCCUACAUGGGAACAAUGCAUCUGUUAAUUGGAGAACAAACAUAACUAUUUCUUGGAAACAGUUGCACAAAGUUAUUUGAUCUUGGCGCAAUCGUGAUGUUAGACUAGAAUCUUGUGAAUUACGGAAGUAGCACUGUUUAUGGUCAAUACAAAAGAGAAAAGGCCUCAAAUAAAGCAUUCUUUUAUAAUGUCAACUCGAGGCUUGCUGAUUUCAGCCGCUUACUGGUGAUAAACACUGUAAUCAUGAUGCAAACAUUAAGAAUAAGCUUUACGACGAACAGAUGAGGGGCAGUCUCUUACCUUGAGCAUAGCAACAGGCUCCUCCUUGAGAUGACAAGGCUCGUGCAAUAUAUCGGGACCCGAAUCAUCAGGCACCAAGCUGAAACCAACAAACCCAAUUCCUUUGAAGAAUCUUCGUUGCAAAACUAUAUUUGAAGAAGAAAAAGAAAGGUUAAAUGAACAAUAAAUAAAUUGGUCGCCAGAAGAACUACCUCGAAGAGGGGUUUUGAACCGAUCGGCUUUGGUUCUUAAGCAUCGAAGGCGGCAUAUGGGCGAGCAUGUGCUGCAGCUUUCUUUGCUGCCGCUGGGACAGAUCGAUGAGUUUCUACACCCGAACAAAAGUAGGAAAGAAAGAGGUGAAGAAACCGACACGAUUCGCUGGAGAUUCGAUGGAAUUCAAGAAGAAAAGAGACCUUGGCCUUAGGGAUAGCGUUUCUCUCCUCUUGUAGUCGGUCCUUGAUCGCCUGGAUCUGCGACUCCAUCGUCUUCAGGGUCACGUCGACCGCCGACAGAUCGGGCAUGCUGGUGGAGGGAUACACUGCCCAACAGAGUAAGAAAGAAUUUAAGCGAUUCGGCGGUGGAUUUCUUCAAAGGAAGAAAAGGGAAACGGGAAGAGAGAAGAGAAAGUGGGGGAUGGCGAACUGUUGCGGGCGAUGACGAGCUCCUGCAGUUCGACGAUGCGGGUGUGGAAGGAGGAGACGAGGGCGUCGAGGGAGGAUCCCGCUUGCAUCAGAUCCAUCGCCGCUACCGGUCUUCCGAGUCCCCACUUCUUUCUCUCACUCAGUCCUCACUCUCUCGCCGUUCCCAAACCAAACCUUUUGAAUGCGUUGCUGCCGCUUACUGGUUGGGAGGGAAACUUCUAAUUGUUUGCUGAUCUAUCCGUCUUAAAUAAGAAAUUUCUUAAAUGCGCCCCUAAAACGUAACUUUCUUGCAAAAAAUCCCUUCUAUUCCGUAAUACCAGGUCAAAAGACUGGUUUACCCUUUUUAUUAGGGGAUGUGUCAAACAGGUAAUUUCCUAAGAUCAUUAAUCUUUUUCUUGUGUUUGAAAGGUUAUUUUCGCAAAAGCAACAAAUCAGGAGCACGAUUUUAGAAAUUAUUAUGGGCAUUUUGUUAACUCGUGUAUAUGUUCCAAAAGAUGUAUACCUUCGUCGUGACAUAUUUCUCUUCACGUGGGUCGGGUUCUCCGAAUCACUCAUCUCAGGCACAUUUGGUCUUGCGCCUUUGUCGUGACAAAUUUCUGGAUCAAGUUUUCCCAACUCACAUGCUUUAAGUACAUUUGGCCUUGUACCUCCAUCGUGACGGAUUUCUUUUCAUGCGAGUCGGGUUUUCUCGACUCAAGGGUCUCAGGCACAUUUAACCUUAUGUAUCUGUUGUGGUGGAUUUCUCUUCACAUCAGUCAGGUUUUCUUGAUUCACACACCUCAUGCACGUUUGGCUAUGCACCUCCACCAUGAUGGAUUUCUCUUCACACGGGUCGGGUUUUCUCGACUCAGCGCCUCAAGCACAUUUGAUCUUACGCUUCCAUCGUGAUAGAUUUCUCUUAUGCGGGUCAGGUAUUCCUCACUCAUGUGCUAUGGGCAUAUUUGGCCUUGUGACUCCGUCGUGAUGGAUUUCUCUCUAUAUGGGUUAGUACUACUAUCAAAAGCCUCCAAUGAUGAGAGGUGAAAGUUAGCCAGGAUCAGCUCCUCUUGAAUGUCUUUGGUGAAUGCGAUCAAACCGAUAUGGGGUUGGUCGACCUUUCGCUUUUGGAUUGUUAGAAUUCUUGUCGUAUCUCUUAUAAGUGUUAGUCUAUUCAUCAUAGUUGAAUCCUUAGGGAAUCAUUCAUCGAAUUUGCCAACUUGAUCAGGGAUUUAAGUGGAGCAGAGUGGUGGUGUGGUGGUCCAUUGAAGUCUACGAUUGGGGAGUAGAGUGCUCCCUCGGCCGACGGUUCGAUGGGCCUCAAGCACUCUUGAGAUGUUGUAUUACGUCGAGUUGCGGGACCUCGAUGGGUGUUGAUGCUGGUGAUGGUUAACCUACUGACCACAGUUGAGAUGAUGGCAUUACUUGUUGGGCUAGCUUGGGAAAGAGUGAAGCAACAGCUUGCAUCAUGCCCAUUAGUAUCUACACCUGCUGGGUGAGCUUUAAGAACAUCUCAACGAGGAUGAGUAGAUGACUCGGGGUCGCUCUUGGGCCGUAGAAAGGAUACUAGUAUUGCAUUGGCGUUUGUGUCAAGGUAGAUACAUCCACGUAUGGAAAGGUUAGCUACUGCCCCCGAGUGAAAAUAUUGUGGGUCAGGGGGCAAGGCCUCCUUGCUUAGGAGUUCAUUAAGAGGAUUGGUAGGCAGAUAUUCAUGUGACAACGGACCCUUCUUUUAGCACCAAAAUGUUAGAAAAAAAAAAUAUUAAUAUCCUAACUAGUCUGACGUAGUCCGGACCCAUAUGUGCAGGAUUGCCCGAGGUGCCUCCAAGCAAGAUACUAAGCUCCCGAGAUGCCACCCACAUAAAGACCGAUGUUGAGAGAAGUUUCUUGACCCGAUUAAUCCGACAUCCAAAUUAAUAACCCCAAGUCUAAGAGUCUGGAUGCAAGUAGCAAAAAAAAGAUCACUCUCCUCUUUAUGCUAAGGAUAUAUUUUUUUAUCUGAUCAUAGGGGAUAAAAUAUUUCAUAAAAUAUUCCGGAUAGGGGGAGAAUAAUCUGUGAAAUAUUUUUUGGACUCUUGUCCAAAGUGGGUUGAUGAAUGGAAAGCCAUAUCUCAUAUCACCAGCUUCUCAUCCCUCAACCUUCUUUUCAAGAUACCGACUAAUAUAAUCAGUAAAAACUUUGACAAAUGAUUAUAAAAUUUUAGAUUCCAAUAAUACCCGGUAAAUCCAUUUAUCAUGUGAGGAGAAAACAAAAUAUUUACCAGCCAUCAACUUUCUACUCAAAUCAUUUGUAAUUGAGUUUAGCAUUUCACCUUGCAUCAAUAUCUUAAUACCAAAUAUUUCAAGAAGUUCUUGAGGCGGAAUUCUACUUAAAAUCUCUCUCUCUCUCUCUCUUGCUAACGCAACCUCACGCGACACAUAGACAUUACCCAUCUCGAUCCUUCUUAAUAAUACAUAUGAAUUAACUAACACCUCAAAUCUUCGCAUGUGAAAUCGAAUGAGUGCAAGAAGUAGGUACAGGUCUAUAUCCCUGAAAUAAAUGCAUGAAGUAGGUGCAGGUAUUCAUUAACCAUGUGCCUUUGCACCCUCGAAGAAGACGUGGUGGAAGAAACAUGCCAAUGGUGACCCGUGCAAAGAUCCCUCUUGUUGUUUUCGAAGCAGCCCAGCAUGGAAACUCUCUGCCUUCACAUUCCAUCACCAUCUAUCAUCCUCAACUAUUCAUCUUACAGAUAGAAGAUGCACAACUCCCAUCUAUCAUUCAACAAUAUAUUGUACAACCAUACGAGUUACAGUCCGUCGCAGCAAAUAAAAUGCACGGAUACCUGUAUAUGUACAACCAUAAGAAGGGGUCUCCGGUCGCGUAAACAGAGCAAAAGCUACUCGACAAAGAUAAAGAUGAGGUAUCGAAGUGGUUUAUCAGUUGUGAGAGGGGGGAUUGGUCGUCGGUCCAACGUAAUCCGCAUCAAACCCUGGAUGCUCCUUUGCUCCACCUCGAGGCACAGGCCAUGUAACCUUAACGAGCGUGGAGGCUUGAAGGGCACCUGAGACGCCUUCGUUCUUCCCCUUGACGUCCUCUGUGCGUUCAACAGUCGAGAAGCCUUGUUUCUUCUCGAGUGCAACACCUUCCGAUGACGUCGAUUCUGCGGGAUUUCCAUGGACUGAAUUCUCAUCCGGAAUCACCUUCGCAGAAACCUAAACAAGAGACACGCUAAGGUUACAGUCAUCCUACGUAUGUAAUCAACAAACAUGAUCGAUGAUCACCAACCUUGCUGGAUUCAUUGUAACGACUGCUUGGAUCUUUGGCAUGCAUCCUUAGAUGCCGGGCAUUGCAUGCGUCGACGGAAAGAGCUAACAGGAGGGUGAAGAGAAGAGCAACAGAAGGCAUGUCUGUUGUGCUAUGGGUUGAGUUGAUGAUGCGUACGAGUAUUUGUAAACCAUGGCAUUAACUGCGGUCCUGCAUGGCAUCGAGGUGAAGUGGUGGUAGUGUCGCCUCUAAGAAGACACGGAGGACUGCAGGUAUCGAGAGAGAACUUCGCGACGGAGAUAUGGAGGACUGCAUUGCUUUGUCUUGUCCGUCGGCUUCUCUAAUUCCUCCUCUCGAUCUGUGUCUAACGAGUUCUUCGAGCGAAGUUAUUGUUGUACGGGUUUGCGGAGAAGCGCGGGGCCCCACCGAUCACCGACCAUGCCUGCUCGUGGGACCCGACGGCCCCUUCUCAGGUUGGGCGACGGAGCGUGGCGGCAACGAGGUGAGGAGAGGAAGCGGGGCCGUCGAAAAUGACGGCGCGAGGUCGACCGCUAACGGUCACCGGAAUCUGGCGCGCGUGGUCGGUGAAUCCGUGUGGGUCCGACGGGAUCGAUGGGAGAAUGGCCCAAAAUAAUUAACCAAAAUUAAGGAUAGUAAAUUCAUCUAAUCCUUAUAGUUUAUUCAAGUCUUCCUGCGAUUAAAACGGAAACGAAAUCUCAAACUCCUAAAAGCCAGUCACUACUAAUCUUCUUCAGCACGGUCGGCUUCGACGAUGGCGGCCUCAGCCUCGGCAUCCUGCACCUCCUUCUCCGUCUUCUUCCCUUUCUUGGACUUGUAGUACACGUUCAUGAAAGUGCCAAUGGCGCCGUACUUGCGACGGCAGUGCUCGUAGUGGGACGCGUCGAACAUCCUCCAGAAGUUCUUCUCGGUGAGCUCCGAGACGGAGUACUGCGCCUGGAAACCGUGGUUCUGAAUCAUCCACUCCUCGAGCUUGCGGACAACUUCGGCGCCGUCGAACUCCUCCCCCCUGAACACGGGACCUGGAGCAUAGUACAAACCGACGUCGGUGAACAUUUGGGCGAAGCUCGUGUCUCCCUGCCGGUGAUGGUCCUCGAAGCCUGUUUCUGGAUGCACCAUCGUCUUCAGAGGAAGCUUGAACAGCCGAUGGGGGCAGAGCCAUACUGGAUAUAGCUGCAAGACGAUUCAGGUUACUUAGUACUAGCUUAAAGAUUCACAGUCUCAAAGACAGAUCCAAGAAGGUACCUCCGUUUCACAAUGGCAAAACUCGAGAGCAUCUGCAACUUUGUACAGAGGAAUCAGGAGAUCCUGGAUCACAUGCAUGUCAUGGUAAUAGUUCCUGAUAGCUUCACCUUGGGUGGCCUUGAGCAAGGAGACCUUUGGCGGCAUCAACCAGCCCAAGAACCAUCUGAACCACCACUGGUCUGCGCAUGGCAGGAUCAGCUUCCCUUCCCAGUACAGAGAUCUGGUAUGCCUAUGGUAAUACUCUCGGGUGGGUAUGUACUCCACGAACUCUCCCCUCUGCAGCGCUGUCUGUGCAUGCUGGUAAAACCAGGGCUUGAACCACCACCCUAUGCUGUUGAUGACAUUGCCCUUCUUCUUGGCUUCUGCCUCGGAAGCAUACUUCCCGGUCAUGCAGACAGCCUCGGUGGGGUUAUAGAUCAUCGUCUCAACGAAGUCCGGAACCCUUGAUGAAUCCCCAUCUCUGGGAGCAAACGAGUCUGCAUAAGCCUGCGCGAGUUCCUUCAAGGUUCCCCGGUGCGGGGUGUAGAUAACCUUCAUGUAUUCCCUAACAGGUAUGAGUUUGAUCUCUGCAGAAACCAUGAGACCCAGAGUUCCUUGAGACCAGGGGAUCCCGUAGAAAAGAUCGGAAUGCUCGUUGUCCUUGGUACACCUCACAAGUCGGCCGUCGGCAAGCACAACCUCCAUGGCGACGACCGUGUCAGAAAAGAGCCCAUACAAGUGUGAGCUCCCCUCGAUUCCAUAACCAUUGAUAAGGCCACCCACAGUGAGAUCGUCAAGCUCUGCAACGACCGCAAGCGAGAGGUUCAUGGGAAUCGUAGCUCGGGUGAUCUGACCCAUAUUAACAAGCGGCUCCACCUUAGAGAUCAUCCGCUCCUUGUCGAUCUCAAGAAUGUUCCUGAACGCAGAGAGAUCGACCUCGAAAUGUCUUGCGCGCUUGUAAUCGACAUUACGCAUGCCAACCGCGAUGUAUGGUUUCCUGGCCGUGCACACGAGGCCAUCCUUCGUUGGAUCUCUCUGCUUGAGGCGCUUGAUAACUUUGAGAACGUUCUCCUCAUGUUCUUUCCGGCGACGCUCGUCGGACUUCAUGGCAGAUCUCACAUGGCCAAGAAACAGUCUGAAGUAGAUGAAGCAAGAGACGGGAAGCACCACAAAGACGACAACGAUCCAUCGGAACCGGACCAGAUAGUCCACCAAAACUUUCUUUCUUUUGGGACGCAGAGGAGCUUCCACACCAGACAUGAUUCGUACCUGAGUUUCGAUUUCUAUCACAUAUGAGAUGGUAGAAGGAUGAUGUUUGUAAUUGACACCACGGACGAAGUAUGCUCUGUUGGGCUGACAACCCAUGUGGGCUUUAUCAGCCCACAGCUCACAACCCCUCUUAAUUUAAUCCUAGAUCAAUAUAAGGAGGGUAUGGUAGCUGCGUUUUUGGCAAAGAGGUAACUACGUUUUUUGGCAAGAAAAGAGCAGUAACAUGGUGAUCUUCGUAGCAGCAAAGAGAAAAAGAAGGAAAGAAAACAAAGACAACGGAGAGAGAUUGUUCUCAAUCAUCUAGCAGUGUUCUCAUCUCAAGUUAGAUCAAAUCUAUAGUAGACUCUUGCUGUGAUUACUUAGGGAGGUUUUAGAUAUCGUGGACAGUGACGUGAUCCUUGUAUCCCAGUUGUUCUCUUGUGAUUGUUGCUAGGGUUUAAGGUAAGAGAUUGAGAUUUAUAUAUUCAUUAUUCUUAUAGUGGAUUAUCUCUAGUUUACCCUAUGGUUUUUACUUUUCACAUUAGAGGGAUUUUCCAUGUAUAUCUUGAUGUUCUAUUUGAUUGUGAUUUUAUUUAAUUCCGCUGCAUAUCAUGGUUUGCUAGUAUUUGUUUAUAUACAAAGGAGGCAAUAGAUACUAAACUUAAAAAAGUUAAGAAGAAGAAGAUGGGGGAUAAAAGGAAACAGAGACUUCUAUCCAAAUUCCAUAAAACAAAUCAAAGCAUGAUGUGAAUGUGCAAAAGGGAGUAAACAGCAAGCACGCACAUAUCAAGAAAGCUUCUUGCCAAAUCAAAGAUGGUCAAGCUAAUUUCCAACAACAUCAGUGAAACAGAAUGUAAACUUUGACCGGAAGGCAUGAAGGCAAGAACACCACCAGCCACGAAACAGAGCUUAGAUUUCGACCGUAAAGCAGAACACUGCGAAUCACCAAAGAAAGAAACUUUGCUACUGGUACGAUACCUUCGAAUUGGGGGAGUGAGGGGCAGCAGACCUGAUCAAGGAGGGAGGAAGGCGACCACCGUGGCUUGUGCUCCCAACGAGGUUUGAUAACCAGCAAAGCUGCCCACAGUCGCAGGCUUUUAAGAUUCAAUGUAUGAUUUAAAGCGCAGUGGAUCUUCUUUCGAUCGAACAUUAUGGUAGAGUGGCAUUUGCAUUCAAAUGUACCCAAAAAAGAGAGCUUUAAUGUGAAAUUAUGAUGCUGAGAGACAUCUUUAUGUGAAUUUACUUUCAAUGAUCAUCCAAGAAGAUUUUUGGAUCUGCUUUCCUAACCUAUCAACUGUGUAAUAGUACACUAACCGAGGGGUGAUGUAUCGCGAAUCAAUGGUUGCAGUUGAUUGAACUGAUCACUUAGAUGUGAAACCACAGCUGAUCAACAACAUCAUUUGGAUGUGGUUGAGCCAUCACAAGAAAGAGUCACAAAGCAGAACACAAUCUUUGCAUCCAAACCUUUGCUGAGCAGGUCAUUCAUUAAUACUGCACAAUACAAUCACACAAAGACACCUGUGGAAGAAGUGAAACCCAUAUCCACACAAAUGGACGUUAUAAAUACUGUUCUCCGAAGACAUUUAUGGUGUUAAUUAAGUUUCCUAUAUCAGCAUUCUUCUGAUGCUGGACUUCAGUAAUCUUAGGAAUACGAGUUAGUAGAUGGUUCCGACAAGCCUUUGGUAUGGAAACACUCUUAUCGAUGUAAAUGCAUGUGUGCUGAUUGCAACUCCGUGGUGAGGGCAAAGGAUGAGUUCGUCUUCUUCCUUUACCGCCUGAAUCAUAUGCGCUCUGAGGCUGACUUCAUGCAUCUGUCAGAAAAGUGGCUUACCAUCAGCAUCAGCUCAACUCAGAUCAAAACAAUGUCAGCAACAAGCAGUGACCAACCUCCAGUGAAGUGACACUUGUACACAUCUCCAUCAGUUCCUCCAACCCUUGUAUUUCCAGUCGUAUUGUUUCCACCAACUCGUACAGCAUCGUGUCGAUGUCUCCGACCUGAUUCGCCGAGACAGAGGAAGGAAGGUUAGAGGAAGAGAUGAGCCGUAGAACCUCCCAUGGUUGACAACAUAAACCGCACCUUUGCGUAAAAUACGCCGGCGGUGGCGGCAAUGUCUGUCAUGGCCUCCAUCGAUGAGCUCAAGCAGCGACGAAGUGAUACCGAGUUGGCCUGCACGGGGAAUGCAGAUGACUCGUGUUCCACAGACUCAGGAAACUGAGAGAGCAGAGCUUCUCUUACCUCGGCGCCUUCUACCAGAGGAAGCGAGAAGGCAGCAGCGCCCAAGAGCCUCACGAGCGUGGCCACAGCGUCGACGUGCUUCUUGGCGUGCGGUUCCCACUGGCUCAGGAGACGGAGUUGGGGACGAAGGAUCUGAGGCAGCUUCAUCUUCUGCUUCCGUCGUUGAACCAAGAUCCGCUUGGCCGCCACCAGAUUCCUUAGCUCGUAGAUUCUUAGCCACGCGUAGAACAGCUUCUCCUGCAGAUUUAGCCGCAAAACUAUAAGCGGAGGCUUUGCAGCAAAUUUAGUGUGGAGUUGUCGCAGAUUAAGUUAUGUAGUAGGACCCAUCUGAAAUUACAGAGGAUCAAGCAUCUCCGUGGUCGCGUAAGGAGUCUCUUGUUCGGGAACAAACAGCAGAACCCUGAAAAUUUCAAAAAGGGCCAAAGAAGGAAAAUAAGGAGAAAAAGGCUCGCCCUCUCUCACCUCGGCGUUGCACCGGGCGGCCUCGACGGCCGCCACCGCACGAGCGUUGGCGAACCUCCACUGGAUCAGUCUCGACGUCAGAAGCCGCAGCUGGUGCGACUCUUCCUCCCCCGGUGCAGCCUCCUUCCUUCUCCGGAAUAAUCCCAACACCCCGCCUCCGCCGCCUUUCUUCCCGCCGGCAGUGACCACGGUCGCUGCGCGAGACGGGUCCGGCGACGGCUUCGAUUGGCUGGGCGAUCGUGCCCACGCCGAGAACCCGGUCUUAGUCUUUCUUGCGUCGCGCUGGGCAGGGGCGGAGGUGGACCGCGGGGGCGAACGGCCGGGGGAGAGGGCCCAGGCGGAGGGAGCUGUUCUCGGCUUCCUCAAGCUGGCGGGAGGGUCCGGCGGAGGGAGUCCACAGGAGAUGCUCUUGCGGUUCUCCUUGGAGAGGCAGCACGAAGUCGCGGAAGGGUCGGUGACUUGGGGGCGGUGUUUGGCGGCGGAGUGGGAGCGGGUGAGCGCGGCCGGCGCGGAGUUGGAAAAUGAGGAGAACAAGGGAACGGACUGCCGGGAUGGAGAGGCAGGGCGGCGGGUGAGGCCGCAGGCGCCGCUUCGGCUGCGGAGGAGGAGAGGGCUCCGCGGGGAGGGCGGGCGGGCGUUCUCCAUUGGCUUCGCUUUGUGUUGCGUUUGCGCGGCAAUGCAACAUGUAAGGGCAGAGUCCACAAUAAACACCCUCCAAACUGUUCCAAAAUUACACCUUUAUUCUCCUCAUAUUUUUCUUCAUCGUUAAUAUAAAUAAUUCGUACGUUUUUUCUCGAACGAGACGUACAGCUUCCAAGCUACAUAAAUCGCUAAAAACAAUUCUGAAGUAAACGCAUUGUCCACACAGAUAAUAAAUCUAGAAAAUUUCCCAAUAUAAAAUAUAAAAUAAACGUAAACAGGAGGCACGCACAGGGGCUGAAUGGAAAAUACGGCGGGAUGAGGAGGGUAAGGUGGGAAUCGUGGAGGAAGUCGAGAGCACGUCGGCGGCGUAGGUGAGGGAGAGCGACUCGGAGCCCCGUGGAGUGCUCCCACGACCUAAAAGCUUUUAUUAGCAGCGCGCACGUUACGAUACUCGUGGUAAUCAGAGCGAGAUGUCAACAUUGCUCGAGCUCCUCCGUCCCUUUCUCCCUUAUUGGAUAUGUACCGGAAGAGAGUACGUUGUUGUCCACAAACCUAGAAAACAAGACCAAGAAAAAUAACAGGGAAAUCUAAAUCUAGGGAGAGAACUGUUGUUCCUUCGGAGACUACCUCUUAUGGCUAAUUGAUCGCGAAAUCAUACAUACAUAUGUAUGUAUAUACUUUGAUGAACGGCGAUCCUUUCGUUUAUUGUAGACUUCAUCUCCUUCUUGUGCAAGAUGGCACAGCAACUUGAAGUUUAGGUUAUUUCAGCUUCGGCGGCGUCGUACUUGAAACUCGAUCGAUGUCGCAGGUAAGGCAUCACAUUGCGGUGAUGGAUGAGACGACGAGUGGGGCUUUGCUUCUUAUUCUUGCAGAAAAGAUGUUUAUGAGAACGAUGGAUUCCGAAGGCUUACUUGGGGGCUGCUCACAAAAGGUCACUUUGCGAUGAGAGCUUCUCCUCCAUUUUGACUACUGUUUCACCUACUACAAUUCCCUUGCCGACAGUAGUGGAAUGUCCACUUCUUGCCCUGCCCAAAGAAGGGUGGCGAGGGCUUGUCGUUGGGCCUCUCAUGCUUCGAUAAGCCUCGCCAUGGUUGAUGUAUCAUCAUAAUUGGUGUGUUCGCUUGACAAAUCAUACACCCUACAUUCCUGACGUAUCAAAGUUGAUGCAACAUUCACAUGAUGAUUGAUUAAUGUGAUCAAACUCGAAAUAGGUACGAUGUAAUUAAUGUAUCUUCCACCUCCGGUUGGCUGGGAAGAUCAACUGACACCAGAGAAUGAGGCUGCACUGUGAUCUCAUUCUCGUCUCUGAGUCACCCCGUGACGCUUUCUGCUGCUCUCUCCCUGCUGUCAUUCCCUGCCAAAAUAUCUUCCUCCAACGCUCCCAAACUCGUUGUUUAUCUGCUGCUGCCAUGCGACGCCACCGCGCAGGCUACCUUCCAAAACACUACACGCCAUGCUCCCUUGGCUGAAUCCCAUCCCUCUCCUCUCACCCUGGAGGCGACCGUUGCAGGUCCCUGAAGAGCUCAGGAAGGUGUAGCUUUUGUUGCCAUCUUCUCCCUCUGUCUUCACGUCGAGAGCCGCUCUUCGUCGAGUCACAUGAUGCGCUACCGUAAUCCUUUCGAGGUCGUCCUCACGCGAGCAAGUAGACAAACUGCACUACGGGUUGUGUCCUUAUCAGUUUGUCCUCCCAUCUCAGCUCACUACCGUUGGGUCGACGACCGUUCCGAGAUCGUGUUCUUGUUCUUAUAGUCUGGAAUGGAAGCCGCAUCGAUCGCCAUUGUCAUUGCAACUGAAGCUAAAGUACUCUCUCUUCUGCUCUUUAGAAGUUGGUUCAUCCAUGGGAGCAUCUCCAAGCAUGUUCUUCCUGGUCAUCUGCCUGUUUGUCUCAGUGCACUCCAGUGCAUGCGAGCUCGGUUCCACCAAGCAGCACCGGCGGCACGAGUGGUACUUCAAGCCAACCGGCAAACAGACCAUCGUGGUGGACGCCAAUGGCUCCGGCCAUUUCUCGUCCGUCCAAGAGGCCGUUGACUUCGUCCCGGAGAACAACACCAAGCGUGUCGUCAUACAGAUUCAUGCUGGUCAUUACACGUGAGUAGUUCUUCGUCUCUCUACUCUCAGCAAGCCUUACAGAAGCUUCCUCUGUUUGUUUUCGGGUUUGCAGGGAGAAGGUGAUCGUGCCGGCGACGAAGCCAUAUGUGACGUUCCAAGGGGCCGGCAGGGACGUGACGGUGAUCGAGUGGCACGACCGGGCGAGCGAUCGAGGACCUGACGGGCAACAGCUACGGACUUAUAACACGGCUUCUGUCACUAUUUUUGCUAGUUAUUUCAGGGCUAGGAAUAUUAGCUUCAAGGUGAGUGCUUCUUUUAGAGACCUAACGAUCUCAGUCCCUUUCAUCCGCAUCGCAUCGCCGGAGACCGAUGGCCGGAGGUUGAUUCCUGGAGCACAUACGUUCUUAGGUUCAGCUCAGCUCUGUUUCGGCUUUAACCAGCUAUCCAAAGAGCAAUGAAAUGAGUCAAACCCCUUGCCUAUUGAUUUCUCACUUUUGCCCUCCUUGACUAUGGUGAUCAGCUCAGCUCAUCAACUCGACGGCAGAGCAUGACAGAUCACUUGGCCUUUGCUGCAAAAAGCUAAUUGGUUGGAUGUUUGGAGUUGAUUCGCUGAGAUGACUAACGUGAAUGCAUGUCCAUCGUGUGUUGUGAAUGGCAGAACACAGCUCCGGCUCCAAUGCCGGGCAUGGAAGGAUGGCAAGCAGCAGCGUUCCGCAUCUCGGGAGACAAGGCGUACUUCUUCGGCUGCGGCUUCUACGGCGCCCAGGACACACUCUGCGACGACGCCGGCCGCCACUACUUCAAGGAUUGCUACAUUGAGGGAUCCAUCGAUUUCAUCUUCGGCAAUGGUCGUUCCAUGUACAAGGUAAGCAACCCCUCCCGUGAUCCAUCUUUGCUGCUCGCUAGCUGGUUCUGAGAAGGAACACGACUGCAGGAUUGCCAACUCCACUCCAUCGCAGACCGGUUCGGGGCCAUCGCAGCUCAGGACAGGAACAGCCCGUGCGAGCGGACGGGCUUCGCCUUCGUGAACUGCAGAGUAACCGGCACGGGCAAGCUCUACGUAGGACGAGCCAUGGGGCAGUACUCGAGGAUCGUCUUCGCCUACACCUACUUCGAUGACGUGAUCGCCCCCGGAGGCUGGGACGACUGGGAUCACAACAGCGACAAGAACCAGUAAUUAACCCUCUGUCAUCGAGCACAAGAACAACCACCAAUCCGCUGGAAACUAAGACUCUCGUUUCUCUCUGUUCUUGCAGGACGGCGUUCUUUGGAGUCUACAGAUGUUGGGGUCCUGGUGCAGCAGCAGUGCGUGGGGUUUCAUGGGCUCGAGAGCUCGAUUUCGACACGGCUCGACCUUUCCUCGUCAAGAGUUUCGUGAAUGGAAGACACUGGCUUGGCCCUUCCGAUCCUUGAGCUCUUGACCCCUACACUUGCAGUAGCAGCUCUUACAACCAUUUGUUAUUCCUACACUUCCAAUUUGUAUUCGAACCAUGCAAUAAGAUGUCAAACCUCGCUCUCUCUGUUCUCGUUCAAGAAGACAGAGCUCCAUGGCAAUGAAGGAAACAGAACUACUUUUAUCUGAAUCACAAGCAAAUCGUUCUAAGCCUCAGCACAAAAAGAAAUUAUGCUACAGUUUGCAGUCAUGGCAAACUGAAAACAGCAGUUUUGUGUGCAUAAAACCUGUGUUGACUCACCAAGAAAAGGAAAAUUGAUGCUUGCAUUUGAACUGAGCCUCUUCCCCAACCAGACAAAGGUGUUCCGAGUGAGUCACAGAAUCCCAAACUGUGCAUGUCCUUCCAUGGCUGCAUAUGGCACCAACACCAGAGCGCUACUUGUUCUCACGUGAAACUGGGAAUUUGCAUGGGUCCAAUGCUUAGAGUUCCUCCUUAUUUGAACUCCUCUGUAUCACCUAUUUGAAACCUGGCCAUCUUUCCCUCCCACCCCAUUUGUCUUGAACAUGGCUCCUCCACUCCAUCAGUCUCCCUCCCUUGUCAUGGCCUCGUUAACUUUCCUCGCCCUCCUCAACGCUUGCUUCUGUUCCAAUCCGAAACACCCCAAGCUUUCCACCUCAACAUCAAACUGGCUUCCUGCAGGAGCUACGUGGUAUGGGAGCGCUAAUGGUGCUGGAAGCGAUGGUAAGGUUCUUCUCCAUAUAAUGUUAUCCUUCGUCUACUGUUGCAGAGAGCCAUGUGUGUGAUUCCAGGAGGUGCUUGUGGCUAUGGAGGCGCGUUGGAGAAGCCUCCUUUCUCAUCCAUGAUAUCCGCGGGAGGCCCCUCGCUGUUCAAAUCGGGCAAGGGAUGUGGCGCUUGUUAUCAGGUACCAACGAAGACCUCGAAUUCUGCAAGCCCUUUUGCUUCUUGGAAGUGCCCAAGUGUCGUCCAACCCCGUGGCAGGUGAAAUGCACCGAGAACGCAGCGUGUUCCGGCGAUCCAGUUACCGUGGUGAUCACGGACGAGUGCCCCGGCGGUCCAUGUCUCGAGAAGUCUGCCCAUUUCGACAUGAGCGGGACUGCGUUCGGGGCCAUGGCGUCCUCUGGUCGAGCUGACGAGAUUCGAAAUGCUGGUGUGAUGACAGUGCAGUACGCAAGGUGCAAAUUCUCCACUCCACCAUCUGCAAUCUUCUUCCACGCAUGCUAUUGUACCACCGGCUUACCACUUUCCUCCGAACAGAGUCCAGUGCAGCUACCCAGGCUUCGACUUGGCCUUCCGUGUCGAUGCUGGCUCAAACCCUUACUACUUCGCCGUCGUCAUAGAGUACGAGGAAGGUGAUGGAGAUCUCGCUGCUGUGGAACUCAUGCAGGCAUCAUCAUCAGCGGAUUCAUCGCAAUGGCUUUCCAUGCAGCAGUCAUGGGGUGCAGUGUGGAAAUUGAACUCAGCUUGGCAGCUGCAGGCCCCCUUUUCCAUCCGAUUGACGACGCUUUUAUCCAACCGGACGAUUGUGGCAGACGAUGUGAUCCCAUCAACUUGGCUGCCAGGGGAAACAUAUCGAUCUACCACACACUGACACCAGUAUCUAUCUUCAUUGGGAGUACCAUAUGUAACUGCUGGUAACUAAUCAUGGCUUAAUUCAUGACAAUAAAGACAAAUUUUAGCCAAUCCUUCCAUUGUUCUGCUCAACUCCAUUUCUUCCAAUUACUCCAAUAAUAAUUCUAGCUCGAACUUGUCAAACACGUUAUCCUCUCAAGCCUUGUGGACUUGUUUUGCCUGUUGAACGAGGCAAGUCAACUCUUCCAGAGGAGGUGGUGGUGAAACAUGGAAUGGAUGCUCUAAAGAAGCAAACCGAAUCCACUACAAAUAAUACCUAUGAUAGAACACAACACAUUUCCUACAUUUUCAUCACUGCAACUACUGUCUUCCUCACUUGGAAUUUCUUCCUGCAUCAACCAACUAUUAUUAAUCUAAACCCAAAGGGUGGGUAGCCAGUGAGGAUCACACCACAUGUCAGAGAAGUAAAAAUAGAGAGAGAGAGGGGGGGGGGAGGUGUGGGGGCGAAAGAAGGGAGGGCGUCAUGAUGGAAGUGUGGGGGACACUGAAGUGAGGAUUCUGUCAGUCAAGAGCAAGUUGGUAUCCUGUUCACAGAAUACCAAUUCUCAAAGCUUCAGAACAAAAGGAGCAAACCCAGAAACCUUCCUUUGUCUCGUUUAUGCAUUGCAUCUGCUCCAUGACUUGGUCAAUCCAAAUUCUGAAUCAUCAAUGGCAACGCUCAUUUUGUGUGAACCAGAUGAUGUAGCCACCAACAUUCUUUCUUAAUAGUGAUGACAGAAAAUGAAACAAUUCAAGUUCCUUUCACUUAAUUUCCAACACCCUCUUGAAAGUUCUAGCCUUGAAGGUAGAACAGUAUCAUAGUGGCAGCUGUGGCUUUUGGAUAUGCAGCAAUUACAGUCCAAUGAGGAGCUCUACCUCGAUUUACAGUAUCAUAGCUUCCACUGACAAAUGACUACAAACUAAAUAUGUAAAUUUCUGCAGAGGCUCCCUGAUUUUUACACUUGCAGUCAAAUAGUGAUUGUAAUAAAAUUUCUUCCACAUCUUUUGAAAGGUAUAGCUUUUCUGCUUUGCCCUCCAAAAUGAGGAAUCCCAUGUCAUUUAUAUGCAGCCUUCUAGUCCCUUUCAUUCCCAGUUAUCUAGAAAUAUAAUUCAGAUACAAUUGAUCUGCAACAGCUUGCUUGAGGUUGAUAUUAUACUGAUCUCAUCCUCACUUUUUAUCCUGAGAAUUGUAGACUUCUUCAUUGUUCUUUCAGCAGAAUGCUGAGAAACAAAGUUGGGAAACUGGCCUACACUUUACAGAGAUUGAGAUACAGAAAGCUCCUCCAGUGUAUUUCUCUACUAGCUUGUUUGCUCAGAUGGCAAACCAGUAGCUAACAUCAGUGCUACAUGAGAAGAGGAAUCAAAACUACAUGUCCAAAAAAUAAUGUUUGUGUUGGAUACCUUAAGUCUUUGCCCUAAGUAAUCAUGGAAAUCCACUUGGGCACAAGGAUGCAAGUCACAAGGUAUUGCAGGACCAACUUAAACAGCAUGAAUUGAUAUACCAAAUGGUAAGAUUCCAUUUGUGGAAGUCCCACCAUUCCAUUUGGUCAAAUUGUUUUCCUAAUAGAUGCCAUCAUAGUACCCUUGUCAAGGUAUUCCACAUAUUAUAUCUAGAAAACUUGGGAUACUAUUACAAGAUAGAUGCCACUGAUGCCUGCCAUAGUUUAUUCACAGUUCAACAAGGAGGAUUCUUCCCUGCUUUCAUGAUCUUUGAAGAGUAAACUCUAAAACUUUUAAGAUCAAUUAUUCUGGUACCAUUCUGCUCUCAACCUACUCCUAUUAUUACCACUACUACUACCACCACUUCAAAGAAAGUAGGGUACACAAGAACUGUCUAAAGACAUCACAUAAUUGCAACUGGGUUGGGGCAGUUGCAUGACAGUUGGUGCUACCCAGCAGACUUCAAUCAUCAUUAUCUGUCAGCUAAAAGCUAAGUAACACCAUAGGGAGCUCUCACCUUGUUGACAAAGGUACUAUUUCUGAAUGAAGAAUUGGUCUGACUCUAUGCAUUACUUGCAUUCAUUCUCUCAUCUGCUAGCUUGACCUCCAUAAGCAUCACAACCCAGCUCUCCUUCCACAAGGCUCAUAGCAUGACAUGAUUCCUUGUGCCAGUAGAAGGAGAAAAGAGAAGAUGAGAUGAAUGACAGUAACUAGUAACAGUAAGCGCAUGCAGGUGAAAGCUGUGCCGGUGUGGGAAGCUCACAACCACACACCCAAUGCUCUCUCAUCAGUCUCUUUUGCCCAACCCGACAAGAACCAACUCAUGAGAGCACAAGUGCUACCGAUCUCGUGAUAUAUGUUAUCAUUCCUUGUUCGCUGCUUUAUUCCUUCCCCACUCUUGCGACGUUAACGUACGCAUCACCCCGUAGUAGCUUUUCUCUAUGCCCCUUCUUUAAUCACCCCAUUAACUGCCAUCGAAGCAUCGAGCUCUACAAAGCUCAGAUCCUUAGUGGUGGCCUGGUAGCUGAGAGGAGGCAAGACUUGGUUUGAUGCUUGUAUGGGAAGAAAUGAAAGGCCUACCUACCAUGCAAUGACUGCCGGAAGGUGUUUGCUUCAUUGCCAGUAGAAAUGGCAUGGGAUGGGAGUAGUGGUGGAGAUCUGGAAACAGUGUGGCCUGCAACAAAGCGAUGGGAGUCAAAGGGGAAGUGCAUAAAGGCUUUUGCUGAAAGGGUGGGUGAGGGAAGGGAAGGGAAGACAUGGGAAUCCGCUUUGCAUUCCGUCACGGGAUACUGGCCACCCUCACGCAUAUCUUUCCGCCGCUAAUGCUGCUGCUGUUUGCCGGAUAAAUCGAAGACCUAAUAAAUAGUGACCUCCCAUGCCCUACAGGUUGACACUGGCACAAUUGAACCGACCGGUUUGGUCUGAUUCGCGUUAGAUUUUCCCUGUUCGGGAACCAAAUAAACAUAUUCGGUCGAAUAUUUUCCGGUUCAAAUCGUAUUUGGUUCUUUUGGAGAACCGAAUCGAAGUGAACCGAGCCGACCCAUAGGAUCUAGUGGUCAAAGCGUGAGUGCGCUUCCUCAGCAACCGCAGCUGCCGGCGAUCUCUCACCACAGGGUGUGGCGCGUUGUACGCACCGGAGUACACGAUAAGGAAAGGCCUCAGACCGUCCAUCACGUCGGUCCCACGUACAUCGGACGUACCUCCGUGAAGACCGCGUGAUGGGCCCACCAGCCCACACCAGUCCCGACGCCACGGCUUUGCCAUCACGUAAUUAGCAGCAGACGGGUCGAUGAUUCCUAAGCGAUGCCAAUUAAUAGCACCGACGAGCUAAUGACUUGGUCUUAAUUGUCCCAGUGGAACACCAGUAACGGCAGGGUUGAGAGAGAGAGAGAGAGAGAGCCGGGUGAAGGAAACGUGGAGACCGGCGCGUGGAAAUGCUGAGGCGCUACGCUCCAAAAGCCGAGAGCUUGCCGAAGAAAAAGCUGAACCAGUAGAGGUGAAGGGAAAAGGAUGAAGACAAGAAUAAGUACCAGUCCAAACAGAGAAUUUUCCAGGUGGGAAGCAGCGGCAGAAGUUCUGCUUCUCCAGACUCCCCCUCUUUGGAGAUGAAAUGAGAUGUUACACACUUAGCUAAUCCACAUACACAAAAAAAGAAUAAACAUGUUUAUGAUCAAAGAGAUGGUGAAGAGAAAAACUGCAGUAAUUGGCAAUAGCAAUCAGCUGUUGCUACAGUAAGCAAAACUGCAACUUGAACACAAAAAAGAAUGGUAGAACUAAUGUCAGCUUAAGCAAAGAAGAACAGAAGCAUACGAAUAAGAUCACCAAAUCGCCAGCUUUCUCCAAUAUGUAACAGCGCUGAGAAAAGAUUUACUUCAAAUCUUUUUUGGUUUCUUAUGUUGUGUUUCUUUGUCUCUGCAAGUCUUACCUCGAGUUAGAAGGAGCGCUCGGAUUGCAUGGCCUCGGCGUGUGGAGUGUGUGGAUUCAGUUGGGACGUGGGUUGGCAACGAAAUCCAUAUCGGAAACGGCCGACAGCUCCACGUCGUCCAUCGACGGCGCCGGAAAGUUGAGAUCGAUCAUGCCGAUGCUGCCGCCGAACUUGGUGGCGGCGGAGGCGAGGGGGGAGGUGCUCUGCGGCGAGCAUGACGGGGGAGGGCGUGACACCGGCGAGUUCUCGGUGAGCAUAGUGGCGGACGACGUGAAGUGCGACCGCUUGUGGCCGCCGAGAGCUUGGCCGGAGCUGAAGACUCGGAAGCAGAAGGGGCACUCGUGGACUUUGGCAUCGGCAUUGGCGUCGGCGGAGUCGGCUUCGCCGUAGAUCCGGGGCUCCACGGCCGGGACGCAGCCGUUGGUCUUCUUGUGGCUCGCCCGGUGGCCACCGAGGGCUUGGUACGACCGGAACACCUUCUUGCACGCGCCGCACUGGUACCGGCUCCGCCCCUUCUUCGGCGGUUGCCGGGUGCGAGCGGCGGCCCGCCGAUCCUCCUCUUCCUGCUCGUCGAAGCCGUCCGACAGUCGGGCCUCCUCCUCCGCCGCAGCAGUAGCCCAGGAGUCGCGGGACAGCAUCAUGAGGCAGAGCGCGACAUCCUCCUCGGGAGUCGCGUCCGAGACAGAGCUAGCCGGCUCCGCCUCCGGCUGCUCCGUCGGCGACGCGGUGUCCCGGCGGGAUCGCUUAGAUCGGCGUCGGUUCUCCUUGGGGGACUCCGUCUCGCUCUCCCGGUCCUGGACGACGUCGCUAGAUCCGGCCAGCUCAACGGCAGCGACGGAAGAGGAGAACUGGGGAUCCACCAGCCGGAAACUCUUCCGGGGGUUCAUGCGCAGGCCAUAAGAGCCUCCCACCUCCUCCUCCGCUUCCUCACCUACUUCCUGCUCCGCCGCAGGUCGGUCGGAGGAUAUGGACGCGGAUGAGUUUCCGGGGUGCUGCGCCUGUGGGACCGGAGGGGCCGCAGAUAUGACGUGAGAGCGCAUGUGCCCCCCGAGAGCCCGUCCAUUGGGGAAGCGGCGGAAGCAAAGGUUGCAGGUGUGCCUGUCCAUGGAAGCGAUUCCUUCAGCUCGACCCUCUCGCUCUUCUUAAGAGAGCAGAGAGAGAGAGAGAGAGAAAGAGAAGGGGGGGGAGGGGAAG
rnacentral:lncRNA from 1 species